AGCCAGGAAAAUGUCCACACUGGCAGAAGUCUUUACUGACGAGGACACUCAUCCCUCUGCAGUGUGCUAGCAGGAAUCAGAGUGCCUGGCGAGCCCCUGCUCUCUAAACCAGACUUUGCAAGUUUGACCUGAGGAUGAAAUACUCUGAAAGAAACCUUACUAUAUUAUGGAAAUCAAACCUUCAGAACUAAAAUUCCAGCAACAACAGUUUUCCAAGUUGUUUUGCAUCCUAUUUUUAAAUUUAUUUUAUUUCAUUAUGUAUUUCAAUAGUUACACUAUUUUUUACAGAACUUCUGGAUACCUGAGUUUUCUUUGCAGUUUAUUGGGACUCCAAAGUGGUCAGAAGUCCAAGAGGUGUGAGGAAGCUUCAAGUCUUCCCUGUUCAGACCCUAAAGAAGCAUCUGAGAGUCUUGCUGGAUUGUGAAGAACAAGAAGGUGACAUGCAAGCAGACCAGGAUCAUCUACAUGGAGACUGCUUCUUGCUGCUGCCCCUGUGAAUUUUAUGUUUUAGAGCAAAAAGCAUGGCAGUGUCAUGGCUUAUAUGAGUGUUUACAUGAACACAAGCACAGGUCUGCACUCAACGUGGUUUGAAUUAAAAGACUGCUGUCCAAGUGAAUGGCAUGUGCUACCUACGAGCACUGGGAGGUGUCUUGGAAGAUAUUCCAGAUCUUGUCAGGCCAGCUUUAGGUAAGGCUGGGUGUGAAAGCAAUGACCCCACCAGCUACAGGCUGUGGCAGCCCCAGGAGGUGAAUCAGGAGUGGCAGCGCUGUGCCCCAGUCUGGAUCUCUGCCUGCUGGGACCUGCAGGACAGGGCUUAAAAAGGAAGACAGCAGUGGAUGAAAGGCUGGGAGAAAUGCUCUCUUAGAUCAUUCUUUCCCUAGGAACCCUUGUAUGGAGAAAUGUAAUACUGGAUUUCUUUCAGAGGCCUCAGAGGCUAUGGUUUUGGUAAAGCUAAAGUGGGAUAUUAUCCCCGAGAAACCAUCAGUGUAAAUAUCCAUUUUAAGCCACUAGAGUAGAUUGAAACAUUGCAUUUGAAUUACUUGUAAUAGCUAAUUUGUUGAUCUACAUAAAAGGUUAGCUGCAAUUUCAAAGCAAGUUCUAUUAGAUUUUAUAUAAUGAGACACUUUAUUACAUUAUAAGACAGCAGAUCCCGUUGUUUGUGUGUUGUUUCAAGUGCUUUACUCUGCUGUUGAGACCUUGCCAUCACAGUCUUGGUGUCUGUGAUCUGUUCUGUGGGUCAAAAAUGGGCAUCAAAGGACUUUUUUUUUUUUUUUUUUGAGUCAGACUUCAUUGUUACAAAGGCUUUGAGAAAGUUUCUGGUAUUUUUGUACAGGAAACUUGUAGGAGACAAAGCAAUAACAGGCUGAAAAAUAAAAAGCUCUUUCCCAAGUAGCAUAAUAUCACUCUAACCUCAGGCUGUAUUACAGUGAAAAUUACUAGCUAGGGUAUUUUAUUAAAAUAUUUUCUAUCAAUCUGCCUAUUACAUUAUAUGAGAAAAAGUUAAAAGUGACAUGUUUGCAUUGUCUAUCACAGAGGUGCCAUUUUCUCUGACAGACAUCUGUUACCUGAUGAUCAUUACCUCACACUUCUUAAUUUUCUAGUCCAACUCCUAAUAAGGUCUCCAGCAUGGAAGGCUCUGUUCAGCAGCAGGCUGGGAAACAUUCUCCUGCUCUUUUGCAGAGAAAAUUUCCAGGACUUGGUCUCCAUUAAAAGAAAUGAUCAAGUUUGUGCUCCAACAGUUCAUGAUUUUCAAAAACAUGCUGCUAUUUUAAUGUUCAUGGUAUUUUCCCCCUAAAUAUUUAGACUGUGUCAUGGCAACAGCUGCUUUUAGUUCUAAAUUUGUUUUCCCAUCCUUCAUUUAAGAAAAAAAUGGCAGUUUCAAUUUAUUCUCCUUAAAUGUAAAAUUCAGUAUUUGAAACUUUUAUUAACUAUAAACAGCUAUACCAAUGGUUUGUGAUCUGCUUUGCAGUCUCUAUCCAAAUGGAAAUUACUAUAUUGAUUGCUAUUCAUUAUGAAGAGGCACCUAAAACUACAAGAUAAAGGCAAAUAUAAAGGAUGUACAAUACGUGCUGUAGGUUUUUUGGAAGGGGGAUGACAAGUAGAGGGUAAGUAGCAAAAUUAGCAUUCCCAGUACAUAUUUAAAAAUCAAGAAGUAAGCUAAAAAUAAUUGUAUCAUAACAGGGGCAAUCAAUGGUCCAAUUUUUUCCAGUGCAUGAGUGCAAAGCAGAUUGAAUAACUGAAUGUACAAAUUCUUGAUAUUAACAGCUGAACAUUUUAUUGCCCGAGACAGGGCUAAGGAAAAGGACAUUAAAGAUCCUUAAAUGUAACUAUUAACAAAUGUUCCACAAUUAAUUGUUACUACUGUCAUUAUUGCUAGUAUAUUUGAAGAGUGCUGGAAGUAAAAUGCAGUGGAUUCCACAAUAGGUAAUUCCUGAGUGCAUUUGGAUGAUUUCUUACCUUGGUCAAAAUAAGAAGAGACUUAAUUGUGAUGCAGAAAUCCUACCUUCCUUUUUAGAAUAGUCUGAUCAGGAAGUAAAUCAGUCAAACAAAUUUAAUGAAAAAAGUGCAUGCAAGUCUUUUGCCUACAUAAACAAUACACAGGACCUUAAUGGGUAUUUUAUUAAAAAAUAAACUGUUCUACUCAAAUUCUGAUUACCAACUGAUUGUUAUAAAUAUUUAUUCAACUUGCAUAUAUUUAUAAGGGAACAGGACAAUGUACAGAUAUAAAAAGGUGCAACGACUUAAUAUAAAAAAGGAAACUGUUUUGACCUUUUUAAAAACUUAUUAAGUCUGAGAAAACCCUACUAUUCUACUACCUAGUAAUACUGAGACUUUACAGUUAAGUUGAAAUAUGCUGCUAGUUUUAGCUCUGAAGUGCCACUGCUUCAUGCAGGAUGGUUAAGGCAAGAUAUGUACUAAUGGCUGAUGGAGAACAAAAAUAUUUAUAAUUGGAUUGUGCUUAUUAUCAAGAAACUACACCUUGCCACAGGAGGAAAAUACACAAUAGACAUACAGAUAUUUUAUACUAGUUUAUUCUAUACCACACCUUCCCCUAUUUGUUUCCAAGUGAGAGUAUGAAUCUAUACAUGCCACUGUGUGUAUUGAUUUGCA